rnacentral:lncRNA from 1 species
ACUGAUGCGAAGUGGCUCAGCUGGAAAGGGUAAAUGGUGAUGACAGCAAGACUGCAUAAAGCAGAAGAUGAGGGGGAAAACCGGCUCAGCCGUGACUUGGGGCAUCCACAGAUCGAACUAUUGAGGAAUCUAGACAGAGGGCAGCACUCAGGAGCCCGGCUGUGGGAGUUGAUCCCAGGAGAGCUUUCAAAUGUGGGAAGUGUGAGAGCUGCCAAAGCUUCUGACAUACUUUGUUCUGAUCAGCUCGUGAACUGGAACGAGUCCAAGCCUGCAGCUGGACCCACGACUACAUCAGAUGCUGAGAGCAGAGGAGAAAGCAAAGGAGGUGAGGCCAGGCUGAUAGCUGACACCUUUGAUCAAGACAUAUGUCCCCAGUUAGACUUACCCAGUGCCGAGGGGCACUAAACAGAAACCCAACUUACUGGCCUCUAACCCUUCCUUCGUCUUCCUGGACAGUGAUGGCCUUGGAGGACACUUGAUAGACUUACCUGGAAGAAUCUCACCUCUGACAGUUUCAAUGGAACAUUUGUCAGAAAGGCUAAUGGGCUUCUUUUCACAAUUUAAGGGUCUUAUUGAACACUAUUAACUAAUGAUCUGCGAGACAUUGCCCUAAGAAAACCGUUGCAAAUAGAAUUCACAACUGACAAUAAUUUGAAAAAUGGUCUCUCACUGCCUCCAUCCUUCUACAGUUCACAGCCUCCCUCUACACAUUAGAAUCACCUGGGGAGCUUUAGAAAUCCUAGGAUCAAGGAUGCACCUCCGACCAAUUAUAUCAGAGCCUCUAGGGGUGAGACCCAGCAAUCAGUAAAUGUUAAGGCUUCCCAGGUGAUUCCGAUCUUUGGGAUAAGUAGUCCCAGAAAGCUGAGAGCAAUGUGGUCUCGUGGAGGCUUGAAAGAGAGACAGUAUUCUUAGUGUAAUUAAUCUCUAUUAUCUCUAACCUUCUCCUGGAUGCCGUUGUUCUGUUCAUUUAAUGAAAAAGGGAAGGAGUUGGCAGGAGCCAAGUCAUCUACUUGUUGCUACUUAAAGUACAAAUUAAAAAUUGGGUUUUGAAAGCAACAAAAUUAGAUACAAUACCCUGCCUACAAGUCAAAUCAUGAGCUCUUUCAUUCUUUCAACAAAUAUUUACUGAGCUCCACUAUGAAUUAAUGAUGUGCUGGUAUUGGAUAUACAGAGGUGAGUUAAAUAGAAGUCUCUGCCCUUG